AAAAAGAACUUUUACCGAAAGAAGAAAAAAACAGCUCUCGAGAGCAACCAUCUUCUCCUCCAUCUACCUCGGUGUCUUUUAUCUAUUCCUCCACCGUCUCCGCCGCUAUAGCUGAACCGUCUCCCCCACCCUCCUCUCUCUCUCAGUCACUUCCUCCCUCUCAGCCACCUUUCCUCCGACCAAGCUCACCCAAACCCUAAAUCGGCUUUUUACAAUCAAAAUUCUUCAUUGUUCUUCUCCUUUAUAUAUCGAAAGUUUCUUUAGGUUUGGAUUUCUCUAUAUCAGAACAAAAAGAGAAGCUGGUUUCGUUCAAAGAAGCAGGAGACAAUAGCUAGAAGACCAAAAAAAUGCUCCUUAAUCUACCUCCAGCUUCUCGUCAAGCCCAUGUUUUAUUGAAAGAGUGGAAGCUCUCCAUGGAAGAUCCUUCACAUGAGGUAAAGAGCAAAGAAGAGAUAAAUAAAGAGAGAUGAGAAUGGCUGAAUCUACUCGUAUAAGAGCGAACCCCAACAAAGUUCCCAUGAAUAUGGGAAGGCUAGACAGAGUGAUGUUCCUUACAUUGACAAGAAGAAGUGAGUAAAUGAUACAUCUUAUCUCUAUCUCUUUUGUUGGUUUUAGUAGUUUACUGUGGUUGUGAUUGUUUUGUGGAUAAAUUAUAAAUGUUCUUUGUCAGAGCUAAUUUGUUUUGCUGUCUCAAGUGAGUGCAGCCCAAGAUAUUGCAGUCUCAAGUGAAGUCUCAAGUCAAGUCCCAAGUGAGUGCAGCCCAAAAUCUACACAUUAGAAAUUAGGCUCAGCUUAGAUAUGAGAACAAGUUUGUUAAUUUUGGUAAUUGUAAUCUUAGUUUAAGCCUUGGAUUGAGACAUUUUACUUGUAUGGUGUGGAUGAUUUAUGAAAUGUAAAUAUUUUAUAUAAAUUU